CACGACCGCACGUCGCACCGCUCACCACUCUCUAUUCCUCUUCUCUAGCUCUGUCUACUCUCUGUGUCAUGCCCAGUGUACUGCUCUCUCUGUAUCUCGGCCACCAUGGCGCAGAGGUGCCUGGCCGAGGCAGCCCCUGACAGCGCCUAUGAGGAGUAGCCCCGUGGAUCCUUACCACCGGCGAGUGGAUCCCCACGGGAGGGUGCGCCGCCGUCGGUCGGGGUGCCGACAUGGGCUCUUCUGUGUUCGGCUUGAGUGAAAGGCUAACGGUCACUACAACUGUCCAUGUGUGCCUUUGCACCUUGGUUCUUCUUCUACAACUCGAUCCCAUCCUCUGUGAAUGAAUGCUUGUAAGAAAUGUGACUUGAUGUAAUUUGCGGGGAUAAAGUUGAGUGUUUAUGUGAUUUGUUGGGUGCAACGUUGUCUUUCUGUUCGGCUGUUCUUUUGUUCUUUCACUGAUUUUG
rnacentral:lncRNA from 7 species